AUUUUUUUGUUCUUUCAUGAAUCUCUUCAAGGGCCCAAGUGUGAAUGCUCAUUCAGAUGAUAAUAAUCCCAAUAAUGUGUCAUCUGAAAAGAAAUCUACAGAAGAUUCAUGUGCAUUUCGUGGGAAAUCUGAUCCCGCAUGGGGCAUUUUACAUAUAAAAAAGAGGGAAAAACUAAUGUGUACACUUGUAUGCAUUGUGUUUAGUCUUUUAGAGGAGGUGGCUUAUACAUAAUGAAACUACAUCUUGCGGGCAUACCGGGUGAAAUAGCUCCUUGCAAAAAAGUCUUUCAUGAUAUUAGUCACCAAAUGUAGCAACUAAUUAAAUAAAUCAAAGACAAAAAUAAGAGGGUUUAACUAGAAGAUGCAUACAAAGAUGACACUAUUGAAGAUGAAGUACAAGAAGUCCAACCUUCCACAAAUGUGGGUAAGAGUAAGACACCCUUAACUACUCAAAACAGAGGAAAAAAGAAAGCCAUUGUUGAAGCUAGUAGUUAUUUUGCUACAAGGACUACUCCUGGCUCCCAAGUAGGUAUGAAAAUGUAUUCACAACUAAGGAAGCAAAAUGCAAAGCUAGCAUGGCAUGUGCUUGAUGGAUGUAUGAUGCUUGCAUCCCACUUAAUGCAAUACAUUCACCAUACUAUGCACUUAUUUUAGAUGCAAUUAGUGCUAUUGGUCCAGGUUUUAAAGGUCCAUCUUAUCAUGAUUUAAGAAUUAUCCUGUUGGGAAAUUGCAAGAGAGAGUGUUAAUUAGUUGUGGAAGGUUAUCAAGCAAAUUGGGCUAACGGUGGAUUCACAAUUAUGGCUGGACUAAUCAAAGACAAAGAACUUUGAUUAACUUUCUAGUUUAUUGUCCAACAGAGAUACAAUAAAAGGCUUGGAAGAGGAUUGAAAAAUUGGAGCUUCACGCUCAGCAUGACAACCUCGCUCAACGCAUCAGGACUACUUAGCCCAAGAAGUCCCGCUUUGUGCAAGAAGUCACCUUGGAAGCCAGCUAUCAUGUGCAAGCGUGCACCCAACGACUUAGUGCAUGGUCACUUAAGCCAGCUAAACAUGACAUGCGCACUCAGCACGUGCAUCUGACUUAGUGCACAGUCAAUUUCAGAAAACAUGAUUGUGCUGUGUUUUAAAGAGAACAAAGGAUGGAACUUAAAAUUCAUUCAUUUAGCAAUGGAAGAGAUCGUUAAGGCACAGAAAGAAAGGGAACCCACUCAUUUUGAAGCAUCUCUCUUCCAUUUUUCUUCCACCCACUUCCAUUUCCUCUAGUCCCUUUUUUGUAUUUGCAAGCCUCUCAUGACAAUGAGAGGCUAACCUCCCAUUGUUGGGAGCUCAACAACCAAACACUCUUGAUGUAAUG